rnacentral:lncRNA from 1 species
AUACACUCCUAUUGCUAUGUUCCUUUAAAAACUGUAACAUCAUCUUUGUAGAGAGCAUUUCCAAUUUCUAGGUUUUCCAAAAAUUUAGAUAUAAUUUUCACAUCCUCUUCCUUUUUAAUAUUGACUGUUCUCAAUGUUCUUCUGUGAACUGGGUUUUCCUACAUAAUAUUAUUCUCUUGUGUUGUGUUUUAUUUUCAUUUCUCUCUGAAUAUUUUCUAUUUUUCCUAGUGAUUUCUUUUUUUAACCUAUUGGUUGUCCAGGAGUAUGUCCUUUAACAUCCAUAUUUCCUUCUGUUGUUGAUUUUUAUUUUCAUUCCAUUGUGAUCAGAGAAGAUACUUGGUAUGACUUUAAUAUUUUAAAAUCAAUUGAGAAUUAUGCAUGAUCUACACAUGGUUUAUCCUGGAGAACAUUCUUUGUGUAUCUGAGAAGAAUGUGGAUUCUAUAAUCAUUAAGAAAAGUGUCCUGUUAUGGGUUUGUUAGCUAUAGUUGAUAUCUGAUGCUGCUUAAAUCUUCCAUUUUCUUUUUGGUGUUUGUCCAGAUGCUCAAUUUCUUAUUGAAAGUUGAGUGUUGGAAUGCCCCACUUGUAUUUUAAAACUAUUUGUCUCUUCAAUUAUCAAUGCUUGCUUUUUACAAUUUCAGGAUCUCUUGAUUGUUACAGAUACACUUAUAAUGUAUGUUGUACAUAAAUUCACCUCUUUUCUAAUAUAGAAUAUUCUCAUUUCUAAUAUAAAAUGUCUAAUUUCAUUUCAAACUUUGUUCUUUUUAGAUAUAAAUGACAGUAGAGUGCAUUUUGACAUUAUAUAUUCAUGGAGUAAAACUUAUUCUAAUUAGGAUCCCAUGCUUGUGGUUGUAUAUGAUGUGGAGUUACACUGGUCAUGUAUACAUAUAUAAACACAGGAAAGUUAUGUCUGAUUCAUUGUACUGUUUUUCCUAUUCCCAUUGCACCUCUCUUCCUUUUAUUCCCCUUUUCCUAAUCCUAUGAACUUCUAUUCCCUGCCCCUCCCAUCUUAUGUAUGUUAACACCUGCAUAUCAGAAAGAACAUUCAGCCUUUCAGCAAAAUUUUUUAUAUUUAUAUUUUGGUUGUAGUUGGACACAAUACCUUUAUUUUAUUUAUUUAUCUUUAUGUGGUGCAGAGAAUCGAACCCAGGGCCUUGCAUGUGCUAGGUGAACACUCUACUGCUGAGCCACAACCCCAUCCCCUAAGCAAAUUUUUAUUGAUAUCUAUUGUGUGAUAUCAGUAUACCAUCUCCAUAUUUGGUUACUAAUUGCUUGGGAAAUUAUCCAUUUUUUGAGGAGAGAGAGAGAGAGAGAGAGAGAGAGAGAGAGAGAGAGAGAGAGAGAUCUGUAUUUUUAAUGGUUAUUUUUUAGUUUUCGGUGGACACAACAUCUUUAUUUUAUUUUUAUGUGAUGUUGAGGAUUGAACCCAGUGCCCCACGAAUGCCAGGUGAGUGUGCUACCACUUGAGCCACAUCCCCAGCCCAAAUUAUCCAUUUUUUUAACUUUCAAUGUAACUGUGUUUGAUAUAAAUCUGUCUCUUAUAGAUUGUACAUUCCUUAUAUAUCUGUAUUUUUAAUGGUGUUCUUAAUAAUUUUACAGUUCAAGAGCUGAAUCAUAUUGACAAUCCUUGUUCUACUAUAAUGCUAUGUACCCUAUAUACUUUUGGUUUCUCAUUUCUUCUAUUAUUGACUUAAGUUUUAUUUGAUCAUCAUUGUUUAUAUUGAGCUUUUUUAUUCCCUUUUGAUUUUUAAGUUAUAAUUUUAGUAGUUACCAUGGGGAUUGCUGUUAGCAUUCUAAAUUUACAAAUAUCUAACUUGAAAUGAUUCUCGGUUAGCUUUCAAUUGCAUACAACUAAUUCUGCUCUGAUCCCAAAACAUUCACCUUUGUCUUCUUUUGGUCACAAAUUAUAUCUUCCUAUGUUGUGUGUCUAUAGC